UACGAAGGGGGCUAGCGUUGUUCGGAAUUACUGGGCGUAAAGCGCACGUAGGCGGCUUGUUAAGUCAGGGGUGAAAUCCUGGAGCUCAACUCCAGAACUGCCUUUGAUACUGGCGAGCUUGAGUUCGGGAGAGGUGAGUGGAACUGCGAGUGUAGAGGUGAAAUUCGUAGAUAUUCGCAAGAACACCAGUGGCGAAGGCGGCUCACUGGCCCGAUACUGACGCUG
rnacentral:rRNA from 1 species